ensembl:misc_RNA Y_RNA Y RNA
GGCUGGUUUGAAUACAGUGGUGUUUACAACUAAUUGAUCAAUACCAGUUACAGAUUCUUUGUUCCUUCUCCACUCCCACUGCUUCACUUGACUAGCCUUAA